UAGAGUAAGGUAAAGCCAGGUUGAGUGAGGUAGAUCACAGUAAAAGAAGGUAGAGUGAGGUACAAUGAGGUAGCACAAGGCAGAAUGAGGUAGAGUAAGGUAAAGCCUGGUCGAGUGAGGUAUAGUAAAGCAAGACUGAAGUAAAGUAAAGGUAAAGUGAGGUAGAGGUCCACAGUAAACAUAUACACCAAACUACUUAUGCUGGGAAAAUUGAGAGCAGCCAAACCAAGCAGGUAAAACCUUUGAGGAGUAUAAAUGAAUGAAUACGGUUUCAGUAAAUAUCAUACACCUGUAAUCAUAACAGUUGUGGUGAUGUCAGUGCUGAGAUGAUCCCACUGCUUACUCUCUCUCAUCUCUCAGUUUCCACCAGAUCUGCUCAGGAGGGGGCGUGUCUGUUGCGGGUGACGUCAUACUGCAUCCCCGUGCUGAAUAAAGGCUGGGGUGUGUGUGUGCUGAGAGGAGUUCUUGACUGACUGAGCUGCGACCUCAGAGACAGCAGGCUGUGGUGUGUGUGUGUGUGGAGCACAGGAACCCUGAAGAUGUCUAAAAUACUAACUCUGUGCAUUGGAGUGCUUCUGCUAGCUAUGCAAUUCUCCACACAGGUCGAAACCACAGGUAACAACACCAUAGUUGCUACCACUGUGACUACCAAAAAUGCAACCAGUGCAGGCUCUAGGCUGCUGCCUGCUGAACUUAUCCUGCUUUUGCCCGUUGGCGUGCUGGGUUCAGUCCUUCACGGCCGCUGGUAAGCGCAGGGGAAGGCACCCUGGCUAAACCGAAGCGGCCAAGAAAGACUUGAGGAGGUCAGUGGCAAAGAGCGUACUUUUCUAAGUUCUCGAAAGGAGAAGGCCUUCGGUGGCGAGGGAAGAGAAGACCUGACUGAUUUUGUCGAGGAAUGUUUUCAUUUUCUGAAUUAUGGUCUGCAGCUUCUCACAUAUGAAGCUACACUUGGAUAACCAACCUGGUCUGCUGAAAUUGAAGGCCGAGACGAUCGAGGAUGUACAAAAUUGGGCUCUUUGCUGUGUUUUUUCGUAUAGGCCGCCAAAAGGGCGAUUUCUCAGUGAACUGUCAAUCAAUACUUUAGAAAUCAACAUUGCUUGAUUGAUGCAAAUUAGGAAGUGAACCCUGUCCUGUCAAAUUUUUCUCCUUAAAAAAAUUCAACUUAAAAUUGUCAAACUAGGUGCUUAACAUUAAAUGUGGCACCCCAUUUUGAGUCAAGGUUCUUUAAUGGCAUUUUUUGUUAUUAUACCAAUGUAGUCACUUAAAUGUGCUCAGUUUUUUUAUGUAUGAAUUGUUAAUGUACUCUAAUUAUCAUUGUACACAAUAAAAGACCAUUCUAUCUGUUUA